GACGAACCGUGCGAACGUUAUUCGGAAUCACUGGGCUUAAAGCGCGUGUAGGCGGGUCGGUGCGUCGGCCGCUGAAAUCCCCCGGCUCAACCGGGGAAGGGGCGCCGAUACGACCGGCCUGGAGCGACGUAGGGGGAACUGGAACUUCCGGUGGAGCGGUGAAAUGCGUUGAGAUCGGAAGGAACGCCCGUGGCGAAAGCGAGUUCCUGGACGUCGGCUGACGCUGAGGACGCGAAAGCCAGGGGGAGCGAACGGG
rnacentral:rRNA from 1 species